UUUAUUAAGAGUUUGAUCCUGGCUCAGGAUGAACGCUGGCGGCGUGCCUAAUACAUGCAAGUCGAGCGAGAUGUUAGUGCAUGAACCUUCGGGGGAUUAUAUUAACGGACAGCGGCGGACGGGUGAGUAACGCGUAGGCAACCUGCCCUUGACAGAGGGAUAGCCAUUGGAAACGAUGAUUAAAACCUCAUAACACCGUAGAAGCACAUGCUUCAACGGUCAAAGAUUUAUCGGUCAGGGAUGGGCCUGCGUCUGAUUAACUAGUUGGUGAGGUAACGGCUCACCAAGGUGACGAUCAGUAGCCGACCUGAGAGGGUGAUCGGCCACAUUGGAACUGAGACACGGUCCAAACUUCUACGGAAGGCAGCAGUAGGGAAUCUUGCACAAUGGGCGAAAGCCUGAUGCAGCAACGCCGCGUGAAGGAUGAAGGCCUUCGGGUUGUAAACUUCUGUUCUAAGGGAAGAAACAAAUGACGGUACCUUAGGAGCAAGCCCCGGCUAACUACGUGCCAGCAGCCGCGGUAAUACGUAGGGGGCAAGCGUUAUCCGGAAUUAUUGGGCGUAAAGAGUGCGUAGGUGGUUACCUAAGCGCAAGGUUUAAUUUAGAGGCUCAACCUCUACUUGCCUUGCGAACUGGGCUACUUGAGUGCAGGAGGGGAAAGCGGAAUUCCUAGUGUAGCGGUGAAAUGCGUAGAUAUUAGGAGGAACACCAGCGGCGAAGGCGGCUUUCUGGACUGUAACUGACACUGAGGCACGAAAGCGUGGGUAGCAAACAGGAUUAGAUACCCUGGUAGUCCACGCCGUAAACGAUGAGCACUAGGUGUUGGGUCCGUUAGGGCUCAGUGCCGCAGUUAACGCAAUAAGUGCUCCGCCUGGGGAGUACGCUCGCAAGAGUAAAACUCAAAGGAAUUGACGGGGACCCGCACAAGCAGCGGAGCAUGUGGUUUAAUUCGAAGCAACGCGAAGAACCUUACCAGGGCUUGACAUCCUGCUGACAGGAUCUUAACCGAUCCCUUCUUCGGACAGCAGAGACAGGUGGUGCAUGGUUGUCGUCAGCUCGUGUCGUGAGAUGUUGGGUUAAGUCCCGCAACGAGCGCAACCCUUGUCGCUAGUUACUAACAUUCAGUUGAGGACUCUAGCGAGACUGCCGAGGUCAACUCGGAGGAAGGUGGGGAUGACGUCAAAUCAUCAUGCCCCUUAUGUUCUGGGCUACACACGUGCUACAAUGGUCGGUACAAUGAGAGGCAAUACUGCGAAGUGGAGCGAAUCACCAAAACCGAUCCCAGUUCGGAUUGUAGGCUGCAACUCGCCUACAUGAAGUUGGAGUUGCUAGUAAUCGCAGAUCAGAAUGCUGCGGUGAAUGCGUUCCCGGGUCUUGUACACACCGCCCGUCACACCAUGGAAGUUGGGGGUGCCCGAAGUCGGCUAAUUAAUCUGUCGCCUAAGGCAAAACCAAUGACUGGGGUGAAGUCGUAACAAGGUAGCCGUUCGAGAACGAGCGGCUGGAUCACCUCCUUU
rnacentral:rRNA from 1 species